UCGUCCAGUGAGUUAGGAAGGUCCUACAGGUGAGUUGUAAAGGUGAUUCGUUCCGGGAAUAGGUGACUGGAGUAACUCUGCGAAACUUCCUUGUACUAAGUCAUGAUGAAACCGGCCAUUGGAACGCAUCAUGCAUGAAGAUGGAGGCAUCAAAAGCAAGGACGCCCGGACAGUGUCUGUCAUUUCACUCAGAUCCUCUUCCUGCUGACGUGCAUCUUCACCCACGUAUUGUCCGUCAGCAUCAACAGAUGAUGGAAGAUAAACCCAGGCUCCACAUAAGGCUUCAACUUUGCAGACGUGGGGAGCUGUCAUUUUACAACACCAUGUGACGAGGAUGACACUCAACCUUUAUGACAGCUGCUGGACAGCAGACACACUCUCUGUGGAGAUGUGAUAUUUCUUCA